rnacentral:rRNA from 1 species
AAAGGUAAGUAAAGAGCAUUUAGUGGAUGCCUAGACAGAAGAAGUAAAAGGACGUUAAACGCAACGAAACGCCAUAGAAAGGUGCGUGAAUCCUGAAAUCUAUGGAUUUCCUAAAAGGAAACUUAAAAAUUUUCAUGACCUAGUGAACUGAAACAUCUCAGUAACUAGAGGAAAAAAAAUCAACCGAGACUCCGUUAGUAGUGGUGAGCGAACACGGAUUAGGCCUUUAUUCUUAUCAAGAAAAAAUAUCUAAGCUAUUUGGAAAACUGCGCCAAAGAAGGUGAAAGCCCUGUAGAUGUUUUACUAGAAAAUUUAAGAAUAAAAUAAAUGAGUAAAACGAACACCUUGUUUGUUUGAAUUAGAAGGGGGACCACCCUCUAAGCCUAAGUAUAUUCUUCUGAUCGAUAGCGAACAAGUACCGUGAGGGAAAGGUGAAAAAGACUCCUAGAAAGGUAAGUGAAAGAGAUACUGAAACUGAAUGCUUACAAGCAGUCGAAGCUUUUUAAAAAAGUAACGGCGUACCUUUUGCAUAAUGGGUCAGCGAGUAAAUUUAUGAAGCAAGCCUAAGCUCUUAAGUGGAGGCGGAGUAAAAGCGAGCUUGAAAUGAGCUAUGAAAAUCUAAAAAAGUUUCAUAAAUUUGACCCGAAACCAAGCGAUCUAGUCAUGAGCAGGUUGAAAAAAUGAUAAUACGUUUUGGAGGACCGAACCCACAUCUGUGGCAAUAGAUGGGGAUGACUUGUGACUAUGGGGUGAAAAGCCAAUCGAGCUUGGAAAUAGCUGGUUUUCUGCGAAAUCUAUUGAGGUAGAGCGUAUAGCUUCUCUUUAAAAGUUAAAAGGAGGUAGAGCACUCGCUGGGUGAUGGUGGCCCAAAGCCUUACUGAUCCCAAGGAAACUCCGAAUACCUUUUUACAGGCUAUACAGACAGACUCGAGGCGCUAAGGUCUCUAGUCAAAAGGGAAACAACCCAGAUCGAACGCUAAGGUUCUAAAGCAAUUUCUGAGUGGUAAAGGAAGUUAGUAAGCUAAGACAACCAGGAGGUAGGCUUGGAAGCAGCCAUCCUUUUAAGAAAGCGUAAUAGCUCACUGGUCUAUGUUUAUUAGCGCCUAAAAUGUAUCGGAGCUCAAGAUAUUCACCGAAGCGGCGAUUUUACAUGAUAGAAAUCAAAUCUAUCAUGUAAAAGGUAGCAGAACGUUCUGUAAAUCAUGGAAGCUUUAUUGAAAAAUAGAGUUGAGAUAUCAGAAGUGAGAAUGCUGACAUGAGUAACGACAAAUCAUGUGAAAAUCAUGAUAGCCGAAAGUCCUAGGUUUUCUACAGACCGUAUUUCGAUGUAGAGUGAAUCGGCCCCUAAGACAAGAGCGAUAGCUUAUUGUUAAUGGGUACAAUGUAUUUCAAUCAUUGAUGUGAUAUCAAAUGACGGCUUCUUUUUUGUUUGACAAGAAAAUGGAUAUCUUGAAAGAAGAAAAUGAAGCCCGGGAAAAAAUUUGAUUUCUGUCUUUUUUCUAAGAAAAAAGAUAACACCGUACUUAAACCGACACUGGUGGACUUGUUGAAUAAACUCAGGCUAAGAGAGAAUCAUGUUGAAGGAACUCGGCAAAUUACCUCCGUAACUUCGGAAAAAGGAGGACAUGGGUCUAAAAAAACCCAUGUGGCACAAAAGAGGGGGUGGCGACUGUUUACUAAAAACACAGGACUCUGCUAAGUGGUAACACGACGUAUAGGGUCUGACACCUGCCCGGUGCUGGAAACUUAACAGGAGGGGUGCUCAUUAAGACACCAUCUUAAUGGAAGCUCUAAAUGCAAGGCCCAGUAAACGGCGGCCGUAACUCUGACGGUCCUAAGGUAGCGAAAUUCCUUGUCGGGUAAGUUCCGACCUGCAUGAAUGGUGUCACGACUUCCCCGCUGUCUCCAACAUGAUCUCAGUGAAAUUGAAUUCUCCGUGAAGAUGCGGAGUUCCCGAAAGUAGACGGUAAGACCCUAUGCACCUUUACUAUAGUUUACCAUUGAAAAAAGAGUCUGAAUGUAGAGAAUAGGUGGGAGUUGCUCAUUUAUUGAAUAAAUGAGCAACACCAGUGAAAUACCACCCUUUCUUUCUCAUUUUUCUAACCUUAAAAACAUCACAAAAUGCAUUCUGUUCAAUUUUUUAAUUGAAUUGUUUACUUGCAUCAAGGGACAAUGGUAAAUGGGUAGUUUGACUGGGGCGGUCGCUUCCUAAAGAGUAACGGAAGUGUGCGAAGGUAAGCUCAAGCUGGACGGAAAUCAGCUGGAGAGCGUAAUGGUAAAAGCUUGCCUGACUGUGAGACUUACAAGUCGAACAGAGACGAAAGUCGGCCAUAGUGACCCGGGAGUUCUUGGUGGAAAGGCUCUCGAUCAACGGAUCAAAGGUACGCUAGGGAUAACAGGCUGAUGACUCCCAAGAGCUCUUAUCGACGGAGUCGUUUGGCACCUCGAUGUCGACUCAUCGCAUCCUCGAGCUGAAGAAGGUUCGAAGGGUUCGGCUGUUCGCCGAUGAAAGCGGUACGUGAGUUGGGUUUAGUACGUCGUGAGACAGUACGGAUCCUAUCUUUUUCGGGUGUUGAAAAAUUGAGGGUGGCAUUCUCUUGUACGAGAGGACCGAGAAUGACGAACCUCUAGUGUAUCAGUUGUCCUGCCAAGGGCAUCGCUGAGUAGCUACGUUCGGAAUGCAGAACUGCUGAAAGCAUCUCAAGCAGGAAAGCAAACCCAAAACAAGUUUUUGAGUUCGUCGAAGACUACGACGUAAUAGGUGAGAUGUGAAAAUUUCGUGAGAAAAACAGCAUACUCAUACUAACUCUUAUCUUUUUAUA